rnacentral:rRNA from 1 species
UACGUAGGGGGCAAGCGUUGUCCGGAAUUAUUGGGCGUAAAGCGCGCGCAGGCGGCUUAUUAAGUCUGAUGUGAAAGCCCACGGCUCAACCGUGGAGGGCCAUUGGAAACUGGUAGGCUUGAGUGCAGGAGAGGAGAGCGGAAUUCCCGGUGUAGUGGUGAAAUGCGUAGAUAUCGGGAGGAACACCCGUGGCGAAGGCGGCUCUCUGGCCUGUAACUGACGCUGAGGCGCGAAAGCGUGGGGAGCAAACAGG